GAAGGUGGCCUGUGAGGGUUGCUGGAGGUAUCAGAAGUGCGAAUGCUGACAUAAGUAACGAUAAAGCGGGUGAAAAGCCCGCUCGCCGGAAGACCAAGGGUUCCUGUCCAACGUUAAUCGGGGCAGGGUGAGUCGACCCCUAAGGCGAGGCCGAAAGGCGUAGUCGAUGGGAAACGGGUUAAUAUUCCCGUACUUGGUGUUACUGCGAAGGGGGGACGGAGAAGGCUAUGUUGGCCGGGCGACGGUUGUCCCGGUUUAAGCGUGUAGGUGUGUGUUCCAGGUAAAUCCGGUUCACUUUAACACUGAGGCGUGAUGACGAGGCACUACGGUGCUGAAGCAACAAAUGCCCUGCUUCCAGGAAAAGCCUCUAAGCAUCAGGUAACACGAAAUCGUACCCCAAACCGACACAGGUGGUCAGGUAGAGAAUACCAAGGCGCUUGAGAGAACUCGGGUGAAGGAACUAGGCAAAAUGGUGCCGUAACUUCGGGAGAAGGCACGCUGACACGUAGGUGAAGUGAUUUACUCAUGGAGCUGAAGUCAGUCGAAGAUACCAGCUGGCUGCAACUGUUUAUUAAAAACACAGCACUGUGCAAACACGAAAGUGGACGUAUACGGUGUGACGCCUGCCCGGUGCCGGAAGGUUAAUUGAUGGGGUCAGCGCAAGCGAAGCUCCUGAUCGAAGCCCCGGUAAACGGCGGCCGUAACUAUAACGGUCCUAAGGUAGCGAAAUUCCUUGUCGGGUAAGUUCCGACCUGCACGAAUGGCGUAAUGAUGGCCAGGCUGUCUCCACCCGAGACUCAGUGAAAUUGAACUCGCUGUGAAGAUGCAGUGUACCCGCGGCAAGACGGAAAGACCCCGUGAACCUUUACUAUAGCUUGACACUGAACAUUGAGCCUUGAUGUGUAGGAUAGGUGGGAGGCUUUGAAGUGUGGACGCCAGUCUGCAUGGAGCCGACCUUGAAAUACCACCCUUUAAUGUUUGAUGUUCUAACGUGGACCCGUUACCCGGGUUGCGGACAGUGUCUGGUGGGUAGUUUGACUGGGGCGGUCUCCUCCUAAAGAGUAACGGAGGAGCACGAAGGUUGGCUAAUCCUGGUCGGACAUCAGGAGGUUAGUGCAAUGGCAUAAGCCAGCUUGACUGCGAGCGUGACGGCGCGAGCAGGUGCGAAAGCAGGUCAUAGUGAUCCGGUGGUUCUGAAUGGAAGGGCCAUCGCUCAACGGAUAAAAGGUACUCCGGGGAUAACAGGCUGAUACCGCCCAAGAGUUCAUAUCGACGGCGGUGUUUGGCACCUCGAUGUCGGCUCAUCACAUCCUGGGGCUGAAGUAGGUCCCAAGGGUAUGGCUGUUCGCCAUUUAAAGUGGUACGCGAGCUGGGUUUAGAACGUCGUGAGACAGUUCGGUCCCUAUCUGCCGUGGGCGCUGGAGAACUGAGGGGGGCUGCUCCUAGUACGAGAGGACCGGAGUGGACGCAUCACUGGUGUUCGGGUUGUCAUGCCAAUGGCACUGCCCGGUAGCUAAAUGCGGAAGAGAUAAGUGCUGAAAGCAUCUAAGCACGAAACUUGCCCCGAGAUGAGUUCUCCCUGAGACUUAGAGUCUCCUGAAGGAACGUUGAAGACGACGACGUU
rnacentral:rRNA from 1 species